CUCCUUCAAUGUCGAUCCUCUAUCCACCUUCAAUUCAUCUUCACUCAAUACCAGAUAGAAUCCAUCAUCAGCUGCCACCUCUUUCCUACUUCGAUCAGCCACCACCAAGAUAGCCUCCUCCUUGUACCACCUAUUAACUCUCCAUGGCAAAGCCCUCGCAUCAGAAAAGGCCACCACUACUCCGCCUCUCUUCAACCCUAUCACUGGCUCCCACGCCGGCAACACCACCCAUCUCCUCCAGUCUUUCUCAGCCUCCACUAUACCAAAAUCCCCUUUGCACCCAGUUUCCCAUGGUGCAUCCUUCACCCCUUUGUCUCUCUCACCCGCUCCACAAACCGGCAAAACUGCAACCACCGUAGCCUCUGCAAUCUCCCCCAGAUUUAACCUCACUACAGGAACUUUCACUCCAUCAACAACGCCUCCAUCUCUUCCCUGUCCUUCUCCAUCACCAUCGUUUCCAUCCAAUUCCUUUGUCACCCACGCUUUUGCUGGCUCAGACACAGCCACAGACAAAGCCUUUUGCAAUACAGAUAUUUUCGACUCUGUAUCCCGAUUUUCAAGAGCUUGUCUGU
rnacentral:lncRNA from 1 species